rnacentral:rRNA from 1 species
UACGUAGGCAGCAAGCGUUGUUCGGAGUUACUGGGCGUAAAGAGUGCGUAGGCGGUGUUCCAAGUCUGUUGUGAAAUCUCCCGGCUCAACUGGGAGGGUGCGGCGGAAACUGGGACGCUGGAGUACGGGAGAGGUAAGCGGAAUUCCUGGUGUAGCGGUGAAAUGCGUAGAUAUCAGGAGGAACACCUGCGGUGUAGACGGCUUACUGGACCGUAACUGACGCUGAGGCACGAAAGCGUGGGUAGCAAACAGG